UACGGGGGGGGCAAGCGUUGUUCGGAAUUACUGGGAGUAAAGGGCUCGUAGGCGGCCAACUAAGUCAGACGUGAAAUCCCUCGGCUUAACCGGGGAACUGCGUCUGAUACUGGAUGGCUUGAGUUCGGGAGAGGGAUGCGGAAUUCCAGGUGUAGCGGUGAAAUGCGUAGAUAUCUGGAGGAACACCGGUGGCGAAGGCGGCAUCCUGGACCGGUAUUGACGCUGAGGCGCGAAAGCCAGGGGAGCAAACGGG
rnacentral:rRNA from 1 species